rnacentral:lncRNA from 12 species
UUCCCGUUGAAGGGCUUGAUAUUUAUUAGCUCGGCGGUGAGCUGGUCAGCGGAGAUCCACGCUCCAGGGGACGAGCCGAGUCCAGCUCCACAGGCCGCUCCACCCUCCUCUGCUCAGACCAACUGGAGCUCCUCCCGGGGCAAUGCUGGCUGGCGCCCGGGGUGCAGGAGGUGGCACCGGGGGCAGCGGGCCCGCGUCUCCCUGCAGGAGCGGGGCUCGGGGCUGUGAAGGAGCCUGGCUGGCCCUCUGGCGGGGAGGCCACCCGGGCCUGCUCAGGACGGGCAGCGAGCUGGGAGCAGAGUGGACGCCAGCCCCAGAGAUGCCCGCAGCCCUCGGGAGCACUCCCUGGAGGACGGCCGCCCCGGCCUCAGCGGCCCAGGAGCAGCUGGUUGGCAAGAGUUCGCUCAGAAAACUUCAUGAGCCCUGGCAGUGGAGGGAGCCUUGGAUGGUGGCUACAGGACUGAAGAACUAUCAGAGGACCUGGUCUUUGUUUGAGAGACACUGGCAGAAGGGAUGUCAGGAGCCUGGACGACCGGAGGCCCUCCUAAGUGAUCUUCAGCGGGAACGUGUGGGGUGAGGAUCUCCGCAACGGAAACCCUUUCCCAAAACAUUCUCGGAUUUUAAUUCUCCGACCUUCCUUUAGAUAUGAUGACGUCCAUCAAUCCGACCCCGUCUAAUAAGGAAGCAAACUAGUAGUCUGACCAGCACGUAGUCGGGGCACACGGCCUCCCCAGC